CCUACGGGGGGCAGCAGUAAGGGAUAUUGGUCAAUGGGGGAAACCCUGAACCAGCAACGCCGCGUGAGGGAAGACGGUUUUCGGAUCGUAAACCUCUGUCCUCUGUGAAGAUGGUGACGGUAGCAGAGGAGCAAGCUCCGGCUAACUACGUGCCAGCAGCCGCGGUAAUACGUAGGGCGCGAGCGUUGUCCGGAUUUACUGGGCGUAAAGGGAGCGUAGGCGGACUUUUAAGUCAGAUGUGAAAUACGCGGGCUCAACUUGGGUGCUGCAUUUCAAACUGGAAGUCUAGAGUGCAGGAGAGGAUAAUGGAAUUCCUAGUGUAGCGGUGAAAUGCGUAGAGAUUAGGAAGAACACCAGUGGCGAAGGCGAUUCUCUGGACUGUAACUGACGCUGAGGCUCGAAAGCGUGGGGAGCAAACAGGAUUAGAUACCCGGGUAGUC
rnacentral:rRNA from 1 species